rnacentral:rRNA from 1 species
ACGACUGCUAUUUGGGUGAGGAUAAGCCAUGCGAGUUGAAUGGGAUACCUAAAUUUCCCAUGGCAAACUGCUCAGUAACACAUGAUCAACUUACCCUAUAGAGAAAAAUAACCUCGGGAAACUGAGGAUAAUAUUUCAUAGUUGAAUAGGCUUGGAAAAGUUUUUCAAUAAAAGGGAUAAAAAAAAUGGUUUUUAUCUGCUAUAGGAUAGGAUCGUGGACGAUUAUGGUUGUUGGUGAGGUAACGGCUCACCAAGCCGAUAAUCGAUAGGGGCCGUGAGAGCGGGAGCCCCGAGAUGGGUACUGAGACAACGACCCAGGCCUUACGAGGCGCAGCAGGCGCGGAACCUCCGCAAUACACGAAAGUGUGACGGGGUUACCCAAAGUGUUCAAUUCUGAACUGUGGUAGGUGAGUAAUGUUCCCUACUAGAAAGGAGAGGGCAAGGCCGGUGCCAGCCGCCGCGGUAAAACCAGCUCUUCAAGUGGUCGGGAUAAUUAUUGGGCUUAAAGUGUCCGUAGCCGGUUUAGUAAGUUCCUGGUAAAAUCGGGUAGCUUAACUAUCUGUAUGCUAGGAAUACUGCUAUACUAGAGGGCGGGAGAGGUCUGAGGUACUACAGGGGUAGGGGUGAAAUCUUAUAAUCCUUGUAGGACCACCAGUGGCGAAGGCGUCAGACUGGAACGCGCCUGACGGUGAGGGACGAAAGCCAGGGGAGCGAACCGGAUUAGAUACCCGGGUAGUCCUGGCCGUAAACGAUGCAUACUAGGUGAUGGCACGGCCAUGAGCCGUGUCAGUGCCGUAGGGAAACCGUUAAGUGUGCCGCCUGGGAAGUACGGUCGCAAGGCUAAAAC